AUACUGCAGUCGAGCGGACCGACGGGAGCUUGCUCCCUUAAGUCAGCGGCGGACGGGUGAGUAACACGUGGGUAACCUGCCUGUAAGACUGGGAUAACUCCGGGAAACCGGGGCUAAUACCGGAUGCUUGAUUGAACCGCAAGGUUCAAUUCUAAAAAGGGGGUUUUAGCUUCCCCUUUCCAAAGGGACCCGCGGCCCAUUACCUUGUUGGGGAGGUACCGCUUCCCCAGGGCAACAAUCCUAACCCAACUGAGGGGGGGAACCGGCACCCCGGGAACGAAAACCCGCCCAAACCCCCACGGGGAGGCACCAUGGGGAAUUCUCCCCCAUGGAACAAAGUUAGAAAGAACCACCCCCCGAGGGAUGAUGAUGUUUUCAGGAUCUAAAACUCUUGUUGUGGGGGAAAACCAAUUCCAGUUCAAGUAGGGGGGAUCUUGGCCGGUACCUACCAAAAAGCCGCCGGCUACUUCCUUGCAGCCGCCGCCGUAAAUACGUAGGUGGCAGUGUUCGUCAGUAUUAGUCGGGCGUAAAGCGCGCGCAGGCUCUUUCAUUAUUAUGAAGGUGAAACCCCCCGGUCCACCCGGGGAGGGUCAUUGCAAACUGGGGUACUUUGAUGCAAAAGAAGAAAAUGGUACUUCCUACUGGUAGCGGUUAAAUGGAAAAAGAUGUGACGAACACCGGUUGACGAAAGCUACCUCUUUUGGUCUGUAACUGACGCUGAGCACGAAUGCGUGAGGAGCGAACAUGAUACAUACGCUGUCAGUCCCCCGUCAUAACGAUGAUGCUAUGUAGAUGCUUCCGUCUUUGAUGCUGCACGACUCAUAGCAUCCGCUGGGUAGUACGUCGCAUGACUGAAACU
rnacentral:rRNA from 1 species